CAGCACUCGUGACUUGCCAUAAACACUCCAGGGGAGGCAGAUGACUCAUGCUGAACUCACCAGAAGCCGGCCAUCCCCAGGGUGGCUGGAAAGCAAAGCUCUCUUGAUGUACACGCUGGCAAAGGGCCCCUCACAGAACCCAUCCUCACCAGGCAAACAAACCAACCACCAGAAAGCUCAAGUCUCUUCAGCUUGCUACAGCAGAUGAGUGAGCAGUCUACCAGUCUGGUGCUCGUUCUGGUGCAGACAUGCAGGUCCCAGAGAGCCUCUUCACAGAGAGAUGCCAGUUUGGACAAAAGGUUCAGAGAGUCGGAGGCACCUAGGCUCACAUCCACGUUUUUCUUCUCAUCAACAUCCCUAUGUAAAAGAAGAUGUUUGUGGAGACCUAAAACCAGGAUCCAGAGUGGCUGGCUGCUUAUGCAACUGUCGGUGGCUCCAAGGGUAUGCAUCAUGAGAGAGGCCACCUUGGAUACUGUCCUGCCUCCUUGACCCAGCUUCUUAGAAACCCUGGACAGUCUAGUGUGCCUUGUUAGUCAAAGCAGUCAAAAGGCCCACCCGGGCUCAAGAGGAGAAGAGCCAGCCCUCAUCUCCUGAUGGAAGAGUCACAGAGCUUUAGAAUGAGCAUGUGGGGUUGAAAACAUUGUUGUGGACAUUUUUUGAAAAAUACAAUCUGCCAUCAGACAUUUCGCAGAUGCUGGGGGGCAGGACGGUCCUCAGCUGAUAUCUGAGUUGCAAUCAGGAAAAACAAAAAAAAAAACAGCACUACUAUUUUUUAAGACAAAAUAUUAACUGAACUAGACUUCAAAUCAAACUGAGAUCAUUUGAAAGAACACGGAUAAUGAAUAGAGGCUUUUAUUAUCGUGGAUUUCCCAGAAUUUGGCUGUGAAAAUCAUCAUGAAAAUGAACAAGCGGAAUGAAAAAUGUUUCUCUCUCAACGGUGCUGGAGAUUCACCAGGGAAGAGCUGGAAGCCGGCCCUGACAACGUCAGAAGGUCAGACCUUGGUUGUCAGGGGGACUGACCUGGUGAGACAGUGUGGAGAGGAGGUGGUCGGACAGAUCCGGGCUAGCCUAGAAAGGACAAGACACCGCACAUUCUUCUAACGUCGUCUGCUCCACCUACAUGUGUGUUCUCUCACGAGUGACAGCUUAGGGACAUGGACUUGAGAGCUUGGGAAUCUCCUAUUCCAUUUGGAGCUUUAGCAAGUGAGUCAAGGGCUUACAGACCUUGGCCUCCUUCUUGGUCUCUGACCCCAGAGACCAUCUCCUGAAAAGGAAGGCUCCCCACACCAGGCACUCACUCCUGUCCCCGUUGCUCUGGCUUUACAAUGAGUCUGCAUGGUGAGUCCCUGCCGUCAGACCUGAAGUCCUCUGUCAAGGGACCCAGAGGGACCUUCAGGUCAUGCAGAUUGGAAUGUGGGGACCCCGCCCUACAUCACUGUACCAUCCACAGUCUCAGGGUUGAAGCCGGGUGGUGGGGGGUGGGGCGGCCUUCGUGUCGAGAGAAAUCGUUUGGGCUCAGAUAAAGAAAGCUUUGAUUAAUGGGAGUGGAGUUCCGUGGUGACGCCCAUUUGAAAACUAUCCUGAUUUUCUGCUCUAGCUGCCUGAGCAGCAGGACUGAGAGAAGGCCUCUCUCAGUACCCAGCCGUCUCCCCUGGGUUGACAUCCUGUGGCCUCUGGGACUCCAUCUGCUUUUCCAUAAGCCACACCCCCAUCUCCCACACCCUAACUGAUCACUGAUCUCAAGGGUGAUGCUUUGGCCACUUCCUAGUCUGGAUUCUUUGGGUUUGGAGGGCAGCGGGUCAGUGCUCCCCUGUGGGCGUGGGAAUCAAGAUUCACUAGACUCUGUGCAGGUUAAGUGAAGUUUAUUUGGGGAGAGUGUAUUUACACAAGAAACAGAUGACUGCCGAGGGUUCCAGCUUUAAGGAUACCGACCCUGCCACCAGGAUGCUUCUCGAGAAGGAAGCAAGAGAGAGCUCCAAGCCCCAAACCUAAUCCUUAUCGCCGGUCAGGUCCGCACCUGGGACCACGCCCUUGGGUGUGGGCAGUGUUACCGUGUGGAGAUGGAUAUCACUACAUUCCCCGACUUCUCUUUAACUACACCGUCCAUGACGCUCUUUCACAGACUCCUAGAAUGCAAGGCCUGCAAAGAUCUUAGUCUCUGAGACUUAUAGCGCCUCUCAUUUUUGCCGACAUGUAUCACAGGUUGGAACACUAAGGUCCAGAGAAGGGGAGAAGACGCAUCUGCCCAUCUCUCUAUCAGCACCUAUGCUAGGACUCACAGAGAGGCCCACUUGGGGUGUGGCACACGCCUGAAUUCCCCCCUGCAUCCCCCUUCCUUGCAAAGGGCAGGCCCCGCUGGAGAUCAUGCCAGACGGUGUCAAACAGGAACGCGUCUUCCUUCUUGAAAUACAUUCUGGAUCAGCAGACAGGCCCCCUUCAAGACCCCAGCAAUGCGGUUUGCCCAAAGCCUAGCACACAGUAACUCAGAAACAUAUGUGAGAAAGCCAUCUUGACCACCUCCCCUGCAUCCCAAAGCCCAUAGCCAGUGAGUCUAGAGUGAAGAGAGAGUAUUGUCAUCUCACGGAAGAUGAAAAAGGCCCAGACGUUUUGCCCAAGGCUAGGAAUGAAUCCAACCACCAAGUUUGUUCCCUAGGGAGAUGAUGGGACUGUGCAGAUGGAAUCUAGGGACUUGACACAGGCCUCGCUGUUCUUGGGCUAAGAAUAGUGAGAACCAGUCUACGCUUGACAGCUAGGGUUUGGGGACCUUCUGCUGUUACAGGGAUGGGAGAAAUGUGGCCCAUGGGCUCGGGGCAGGGGUGAGAGAGUUUUCCAUGACUUCUCCUUUGAUCGUGGUGCUGACUGUCCCAAUUUUUCUGGGGUUCACAAGUUUCCCAGGGUGUGGGGCUUUCAGAGACGAAAUGUGGAAAAGUUCUGGGCAAAACAGGACAAGUUGGUUACUCUAACCUUAAUGUCCCUUGACUUUGGCAGCUUAGGCCUUCAGAUUUAGACUAAGCUUUGGGUUGGGAAUGGGAAGGCCACUGUCUCCUCUAACAAAAGGGCCACUGCCUGGCCUCUGUUGUGGGAAAAAAGGUCACAGUUUCAGUUUCUAUCUCUGACUGCUCUUGAACUCACAUUAAGACAUAAUUGACAUCUUAACAGUAUUAAGGUAUGGGGCCGUUAAGAGGGGGUCAUGAACAGAUUAAGGUAUUAAUAGUCUGCCUGUGGAUGCUAGUUACUGUGGCAGCCCCUCAUAAGAAAGAGAGUCCCGUCCCUCAGAUUCCCUUUUCCAGGCACAUGCUUGACCUUCCGAGUCUCCGUCAUGCAAAGGCGUAGCAAAGGAAUUGUGCCAUGCCCUUGGCUUCCAAGCCUCAUCAAAUAAAGAAAUAAAUUAAAUUUCUAAUUUUCCUAGUCUGUGGUAUUCUGUUACAACAAAAUAAAAUGGACUAAGACAUAAACCUGC
ensembl:lncRNA